rnacentral:hammerhead_ribozyme from 1 species
AUCCGGCCGACGAGUCCCAAAUAGGACGAAACGCGCUUCUUUUAU